rnacentral:lncRNA from 1 species
AUCCUUCAACUAAUCAAAAAAAUAACAACCAAGAAGUGGUUAUAACUAACUCUCAAUAAACUUAAGAGCAAAGGGAACAAAAAUCAAACAAGUGAUGCCAACUAAUUAACACCACAUCCUUGAUGUGCCGCCCACCCUCUUUUGGCUCCAAGGGAGGAUGCCAAGAGAGAGAAGGGGUGUGGGCUAGAGAGAGGAAGAAGAGGGAGGCAUGGAUCCAAUGAAGGUGGCAACA